rnacentral:rRNA from 1 species
CCUACGGGUGGCAGCAGUGAGGAAUAUUGGUCAAUGGACGAGAGUCUGAACCAGCCAAGUAGCGUGAAGGAUGACUGCCCUAUGGGUUGUAAACUUCUUUUAUAUGGGAAUAAAAUGUUCCACGUGUGGGAUUUUGUAUGUACCAUAUGAAUAAGGAUCGGCUAACUCCGUGCCAGCAGCCGCGGUAAUACGGAGGAUCCGAGCGUUAUCCGGAUUUAUUGGGUUUAAAGGGAGCGUAGGUGGAUUGUUAAGUCAGUUGUGAAAGUUUGCGGCUCAACCGUAAAAUUGCAGUUGAAACUGGCAGUCUUGAGUACAGUAGAGGUGGGCGGAAGUCGUGGUGUAGCGGUGAAAUGCUGAGAUAUCACGAAGAACUCCGAUUGCGAAGGCAGUUCACUGGACUGCAACUGACACUGAGGCUCGAAAGUGUGGGUAUCAAACAGGAUUAGAUACCCUAGUAGUC